AAGCUGUCGACAAGUUGUGUUCGCAUUGCUUGUUCCCAGUUGUUGUAACAAGUUUGAAACAAGCUGUUAACAACUUGUAACAAGCUUGAUGGCAUUAUCAGACUUGUUACAAAGUUGUUCUAAUAAGUCUGAUACAGUCAUGAUAUAACAAGAAUGUUACAAGAUUGUUCUAACAAGUCUGAUACAAUCAUGAUAUAACAAGAAUGUUACAAGGUUGUUCUAACAAGUCUG